AUUGAACGCUGGCGGCAGGCCUAACACAUGCAAGUCGAGCGGAGCGGCGGACGGGUGAGUAAUGCCUAGGAAUCUGCCUGGUAGUGGGGGAUAACGUCCGGAAACGGGCGCUAAUACCGCAUACUAUCAGAUGAGCCUCGGUUGGAUUAGCUAGGUGGUGGGGGAAAGGCCUACCAAGGCGACGAGCCGUAACGGGUCUGCGAGGAUGAGCGCUAACACUGAAACGGAGACCCGGUCCAGACUCCGACGGGAGGCAGCAGUGGGGAAUAUUGGACAAUGGGCGAAAGCCUGAUCCAGCCAUGCCGCGUGUGUGAAGAAGGUCUUCGGAUUGUAAAGCACUUUAAGUUGGGAGGCGUUACCAACAGAAUAAGCACCGGAUAACUUCGUGCCAGCGGCCGCGGUAAUUC
rnacentral:rRNA from 1 species